GGCUCUGUGGCGCAAUGGAUAGCGCAUUGGACUUCUAAGCUGAAGGGUUGAGGCCAUUCAAAGGUUGUGGGUUCGAGUCCCACCAGAGUCG